GAUGAAGAACGCAGCGAAAUGCGAUAAGUAAUGUGAAUUGCAGAAUUCAGUGAAUCAUCGAAUCUUUGAACGCACAUUGCGCCCGUCAGUAUUCUGGCGGGCAUGCCUGUUCGAGCGUCAUUACGCCCCUCAAGUCCCCUGAGGACUUGGUGUUGGGGAUCGGCGAGGCUGGUUUUCCAGCACAGCCGUCCCUUAAAUUAAUUGGCGGUCUCGCCGUGGCCCUCCUCUGCGCAGUAGUAAAACACUCGCAACAGGAGCCCGGCGCGGUCCACUGCCGUAAAACCCCCCAACUUUUUAUAGUUGACCUCGAAUCAGGUAGGACUACCCGCUGAACUUAAGCAUAUCAAUAAGCGGAGGA
rnacentral:misc_RNA from 1 species